UCCACCCACGUGAGGUACAAACACGCCCCCACAUAUAAUAACCCCACUCCUAUAUGUCGCUGCUCCACUUUAUUUGUUUUUGCAGAAGGUGGUGACCCUACCAGCAGCGUAACAACUCUGGGCCGGGCCCCUCCAGGCUCUGACUGAGAUGAGCAGCUUGCGUCGGCUCCCCCCGACAAAGAACUGUUGAAGGGGAAGGGAGCAGCUUCCUCCGGCUCUAUUUCCCCCACCCCGCAAAAAAAUCGUUGAUGGGGUCAUGCUCAACAUGCAGGUAGCAGCUUCCCUGGCUCAUUCCCCCCUCCCCCGGUGAAAUAUCGUUAAUGGGACUGGGCCGACUGCGGGGAGCAGCUUCCCCAGCUCGCCCCCCCCAGAGAAAAAUCAUUAAUGGGGCCGGGCCCUGGAUUAUGGCGUGUAUGCCACAGUGCAAAAGAAUAUGGCAUCACUGUAAACCACAAACACUUAAACAUUGCUGGACCUAUUUAGGUGAGGGGAACCCUAGAGAAAUGACAUCUCCAUCAAUUUAAAUAAUCAGAUACUACUUUUUAGAAUGAAAAAGAUAAAGGCAGUAUAAACUGUAGCUCUUGAGACGUCAAACUAGAAACACCAGCUUUGGCAAAACGCCCUUUGCUUUGGCAACUACCAACAUUUUUCCUUAUCAAUGGUUGUGUAAACAGUGACUGACUGACUCCUAGGAUACCAGGAAAACCCCCGGUGGGCCCUACUGCUUACUCAAUUUGGUUCCUAUACCAUGAACAUUCUCCAUUUCUAUUGGAGAACAGAAAAUAAGAAAUGGAAGGAUGCAUACAUGAUAAUAUUUAACGAGAAGAGAAUAAAGAAAGUGAGUGAAGGAAACAUUUUUUGGAGACGUGUGAAAUCCCACCAAUGUCUUAAAACUAUUGUGACAGUUGGAAAAAGUAAAGCAAAAACAGAAGUGUCUCCCCUCGACUGGCCAGGGUCAGAAUGUAUGAAUAGGAAGUUUGUCCCUGUUUGCCACUAAAGCCUUCUCCAUCACAAUCAGUAGAUGUUUCAUUUACCUCUCCCAUCUUCCCACAAUUUAUAAGAGAUUAUUUAUUUCUAAGGUGCAGAGUACAAGUCAUGGUUUUUGACCCACAAUGCAGCAUUUUUUCCACAAUUCUAUCAAUCAUAAUUGUGAUGUGAUGCACCUCAUGCAAUUGUGCUGAUGCAUUCAAAAAAUCUUCAGCACGUCAUAAUUUCCUAACACUCUGCGUCCAAAUUAUAUCUUCACCAGAUUAUUUUGGCUCAAAUUCACGGAUUCAUUUGACACAGCACUGUAGAAAACCUGGAUGUACCACCACCUUCAAGGGUUCCAUUGAAUCACUUGGCAAACAGCAGGCAAUUGACAAGAUUAGGUUGGAUGGAACUAUACAAAGAUUCAAGGAGCAGUUUUAGAUACAAGUACCUUUAAAAAAAAAACCUGUGUACGAACCCAAAGUGCAGUUGCAGUUACGUAAUUGCAAGCACAGUUGUUGCACGACCGCAACUGUACUUGUGGGCUGUAAAUAGUCCUUACAUGUAGUACCUGGAGCCUAACUCCAUCAUUCUCUUUCCUUGUUAUUUACAGUAGUUCCUAGUAACUAUGACUUUCUACAUAUACUAUAUAUUAUAAGAGUUGUGGUUAAAAAGACCAGUACUAGGCUGGUGAAUAGUAAACUCCAGGGAAAAUGUGUAUUUCUGCAGCAAGUAAGGCUGUUUGCUUAUUUUACUGGCUCAGUAAAUGCCAGAUAAAUGGGUCCCUGGAGUGAAUGGGGAGAGCAGGGUGGGCUUUCCACUCCUUGCUCCAUUAAGUGUUUUCAGCUGCCCAGCUAGAAGUAGCAAUGUAAUUAGGAUGCAGGUGAGCUGCAGACAAAAAGACGUAUGGGGCUACACUUCAGUGCUUUCUACCCUAGAGACCUCCUGAAGCUGGAGGAGGGUGAGGGGCCGUGGACACCUCCAAGUGCAGAAAGGAGGUGUGAUUGUGUGUGCAGCUGGGAAGGAGAUAUGAGAGUGAUUCCCUGAGCGUGAUUCCCUGCUGACCUGAAGUGUUGGAGAGAGCUCCAAAGGACUGGAGAGAGGAAGAGAGAAACUCCUCCCAGGGGCAAGUGUGUCAAGUGUGAGUCCAAGAGAGGAUUCUGGGACUUGUAUGGUGAAAGCUAUUACAUUGAUACAGGGUAGCUAUUGCCGUCUGGAGAGCCUGGACCGGGUAACGUCCCUUGAGGAACCCCACCUGGUGAGCGGUGCGUCUAAGACCUCCCUGUCCUGCACUGAAAGUUUGGAUAAGUGGGCAUUACGUAAGAAAGAGAGGCCUUCUUCUGGAUGAUCCUGAUUCUCUUCGUAAAAGCGCUUAAAAUAUGUCUCAAGUUCAGCUACAAUGGCUUCAGUGUCCCGAGCCCAACCCUCCUCCGUUUUUAAUUUCUUAAUGAAGUGUUGCGCCGUAUGGGGUUUGGUUAUUCUGGCAAGGAGUCUCCCCGAUUUAUUCCCCCACCUGUAAAACUUAUUUUUCAUAUGAGAAAUUUUGUACUGGGCGCUGUCAUGUAAUAAAGUAUUAAACAAA